rnacentral:rRNA from 1 species
GACGAACGCUGGCGGCGUGCUUAACACAUGCAAGUCGAACGGAAAGGCCCUGCUUUUGUGGGGUGCUAGAGUGGCGAACGGGUGAGUAACACGUGAGUAACCUGCCCUUGACUUUGGGAUAACUUCAGGAAACUGGGGCUAAUACCGGAUAGGAGCUCCUGCUGCAUGGUGGGGGUUGGAAAGUUUCGGCGGUUGGGGAUGGACUCGCGGCUUAUCAGCUUGUUGGUGGGGUAGUGGCUUACCAAGGCUUUGACGGGUAGCCGGCCUGAGAGGGUGACCGGCCACAUUGGGACUGAGAUACGGCCCAGACUCCUACGGGAGGCAGCAGUGGGGAAUAUUGCACAAUGGGCGGAAGCCUGAUGCAGCAACGCCGCGUGCUGGAUGACGGCCUUCGGGUUGUAAACCGCUUUCGCCUGUGACGAAGCGUGAGUGACGGUAAUGGGUAAAGAAGCACCGGCUAACUACGUG